rnacentral:rRNA from 1 species
GACGAACGCUGGCGGCGUGCUUAACACAUGCAAGUCGAACGGAAACGCCCUGCUUUUGUGGGGUUCUCGAUUGGCGAACGGGGGAGUAACACGUGAGUAACCUGCCCUUGACUUUGGGAUAACUUCAGGAAACUGGGGCUAAUACCGGAUAGGAGCUCCUCCUGCAUGGUGGGGGUUGGAAAGUUUCGGCGGUUGGGGAUGGACUCGCGGCUUAUCAGCUUGCUGGUGGGGGAGUGGCUUACCAACGGUGUGACGGGUAGCCGGCCUGAGAGGGGGACCGGCCACCUGGGGCCUGAGAGACGGCCCAGACUCCUACGGGAGGCAGCGGUCGGGAGUAUUGCACAGUGGGCGGGAGCCUGAUGCAGCAACGCCGCGGGCGGGAUGACGGCCUUCGGGGUGUAAACCGCUUUCGCCUGUGACGAAGCGUGAGUGACGGUAAUGGGUAAAGAAGCACCGGCUAACUACGUG